rnacentral:misc_RNA from 1 species
AACGGUCUAUACCUGCGGUACCUGCGGAAGGAUCAUUAAAGAGAAAACUGCCCUUUGGGUAGAUUUCCCACCCUUUGUUUACUUUACCUUUGUUGCUUUGGCAGGCCCGUCUUCUGACCACCGGCUUCUAGCUGGUCCGUGCCUGCCAGAGGACCCCCAACUCUUGAUUUUAAGUUGUCCGAGUCUUAUAUAAUAGUAAAAACUUUUAACAACGGAUCUCU